GCCGGGCGCGGUGGCGCACGCCUGUAGUCCCAGCUGCUCGGGAGGCUGAGCCCGCCGGAUCGCUUGAGCCCAGGAGUUCUGGGCUGCAGUGCGCUAUGCCGAGCGGGCGUCCGCGCUAAGGCCGGCAUCAAUAUGGUGAGCCCCGGGGAGCCGGGGCACACCAGGUUGCCUAAGGAGGGGUGAACCGGCCCAGGUCGGAAACGGAGCAGGUCAAAACUCCCGUGCCGGUCAGUAGCGGGAUCGCGCCCGUGAAUAGCCACUGCAGCGUAGCCUGGGCAACACAGAGAGACGCGGGCUCCU
ensembl:misc_RNA Metazoa_SRP Metazoan signal recognition particle RNA